GACGAACGCUGGCGGCGUGCUUAACACAUGCAAGUCGAACGGAAAGGCCCUGCUUUUGUGGGGUGCUCGAGUGGCGAACGGGUGAGUACACGUGAGUAACCUGCCCUUGACUUUGGGAUAACUUCAGGAAACUGGGGCUAAUACCGGAUAGGAGCUCCUGCUGCAUGGUGGGGGUUGGAAAGUUUCGGCGGUUGGGGAUGGACUCGCGGCUUAUCAGCUUGUUGGUGGGGUAGUGGCUUACCAAGGCUUUGACGGGUAGCCGGCCUGAGUGGGUGACCGGCCACAUUGGGACUGAGAUACGGCCCAGACUCCUACGGGAGGCAGCAGUGGGGAAUAUUGCACAAUGGGCGGAAGCCUGAUGCAGCAACGCCGCGUGCGGGGUGACGGCCUUCGGGUUGUAAACCGCUUUCGCCUGUGACGAAGCGUGAGUGACGGUAAUGGGUAAAGAAGCACCGGCUAACUACGUG
rnacentral:rRNA from 1 species